GACGAACGCUGGCGGCGUGCUUAACACAUGCAAGUCGAACGGAAAGGCCCUGCUUUUGUGGGGUGCUCGAGUGGCGAACGGGUGAGUAACACGUGAGUAACCUGCCCUUGACUUUGGGAUAACUUCAGGAAACUGGGGCUAAUACCGGAUAGGAGCUCCUGCUGCAUGGUGGGGGUUGGAAAGUUUCGGCGGUUGGGGAUGGACUCGCGGCUUAUCAGCUUGUUGGUGGGGUAGUGGCUUACCAAGGCUUUGACGGGUAGCCGGCCUGAGAGGGUGACCGGCCACAUUGGGACUGAGAUACGGCCCAGACUCCUACGGGAGGCAGCAGUGGGGAAUAUUGCACAAUGGGCGGAGGCCUGAUGCAGCAACGCCGCGUGCGGGAUGACGGCCUUCGGGUUGUAAACCGCUUUCGCCUGUGACGAAGCGUGAGUGACGGUAAUGGGUAAAGAAGCGCCGGCUAACUACGUG
rnacentral:rRNA from 1 species